UUUUUUUUUCAUUAUUAUUCUUACAGUAUUUUGUGACAAUCAUGUCAUUGGUGGGAUUUGAAUGCAUUAUGCUUAUGUUUUGACAAUCUUUCAUGCAAAACAAUUAGGAAAUCAUUCAGAAGGAAAAUCUGCAUCAUUCUAGUCUAGUUCUCCAAGAUAUGAAAUUGGUUGACCAUCACUACAUGCAGCUAUCCAUAUGUAGUUUAACCAUGGUGUAUUAGAUGGUAAUAUUUGCUGAUCAGAUUUAUGCUACUCAUAAAUAUUCAGUGAUAGUUGCAUAUCCAUCCAAAUGUUUUGGUGAUAGUUGCACAUAGGUUGGCACAUGUAGUAUGCAGAUCCAUGCAUACACAUAUAUUAUCCGUAAAGCAUAUGUAUAUAUGAAUGCAUUUAAGCAUGCCUGCAAUACUUAUAUGACUGCAUGUGUGAACUCCCGUAUUUAUGUAUGCAUACAUACUUAUGGGAUUUGGCUUAAGUUGAAUGCAGGAGGAAAGGAAGUAUGCUUGCGGUUGAAAUCAUG
rnacentral:misc_RNA from 1 species